CCAACAAGAGUCGUAAAGCAGUUCGUAAAUGGAUAACGGACGAUUUGCAUACCCAUUUCGUCAUUUUCGUCAAGCCAACAGAGGUCGCAAACCAAUUCAGAAAUUUACGACCCCAUUUCUGGUUCCCAUAUUUGCGACUCUGGCAAGGAGAGAGACGAAGGUCGCAAACCAGCGCGGGUGUUGAGCAACGGCUAUGAAUAGUGCCAAAAACCAGGUGCCGUACGGUGGCCGAACCGGAAAGGAAGGGGACAGCGAACCAAGAGGCCAAAGGUUGCUUGCUAACUCUCAGCCACUUGUUAGAAGGAAGUGCAGCUUUAUUGUCGGGGGGAAUCAACAGGAAGGAAAAAAGAAGGUAGAUUUUUCUAUUCUAUUUCCUCCUUUGAUAAGGAUUGGCUUUAAGUGAUAGAGGAUGUGAUUGGAAUUAAUUUUUUAUUUGGGUAAUUUUAUUGUGUCAACAUACUUGUGUGCGUUUACUUUUGAUUAUGGCCUAUGCAGUUGAUGACUUUAUUUUUCUGUAGAACAACUUGUGUUGAUGGAUUGGUUAGUGGCUUUAAGAAUUAAGGCUCAUUCUAAACGUAGUUUGGGUUCUAUAGAUGAAUAUUAGUUCGUUUAAUAUUUUCUUAUGGGUAAUUGUUGUGCUGUUUGAACAGAGCUUGGGUUUGAUGGUGAAGUUGAGCAAUCUUUGGGUUUGAAUUGAUUGGUUUAACUUCGACAUAUAUAUAGAUUACAAAUAACUUGUCAGAGUAAAACCAACUUGAUGAAUUCAUGCGUGAUGUUUUGAAAGCUCUGAAUUGGUUAUAUGGGCUUAUUAUCUAUAUUGUUGAAUUGUUUCUUCAAUUUGAUCAGAUAUGAAUUCCCUAUACAAUUCAUAUGCAUCGUUGCUCAUGAGUGAUGAAUUAGACGAUGAUCAUCAUAUUGAUCAAUUGGAUUCACAAAUUCCAUCCGAGGUUGUGCCUUCAACAAGAACUAGUCGAAGAAGUCAAAAUUUCUCAAUUGACGAUGAUAAACUCCUUGUGUCCGCUUGGCUAAAUACCAGCAAAGAUUCAAUUCAAGGGAAUGCUCAAAAUUCUAACAGAUAUUGGCAAAGAAUUAAUGAAUUUUUCAACACCCAUGGAGGCCCCCGCACCCAAGCAUCGCUAAAACAAAGGUGGAAUGACAUUAACAAGAAGUGUCAAAAAUUUUCUGGAUAUUUAAGCCAAAUUGAAGGAAGACACCCUAGCGGACAAAUCGAACAAGGAAUGAGAGCCCUAAAACUCCAGCUGCAUUCCGUCUCUGGACAAAAUAUGCAUCAUUCGCUACCACAGCAUUUGCAAUAUGGAGAAAAAGAUUUCGACUCAUUCGAAAUCUUCUCCUGAAUAGACCUUCGUGGUAAAUAGGAUCUGGCUUGAAAUAGUCAUUCCACAAUCUGGAGUGACCGUCAACAUGAUUACGUUGAACAAUUCUAUGGCCUGGAAUGGAACCACGGUGGCCAGUUCGUCUCCUCCCAUUUGCUUCUUGAUCAUCUGUCUCUCGUGCAUUAAAAAGCUGCUCCAACUCAUCUUCAGAGUCGGACUCAAAGGCAAGGAAUUCCCUCAAAAUCUCAGAACUAACAUUUGGGUGAUCCAUGGAGAAGUUUGAAGUUUGUGAUAAGAUUUUUAUGUAAAAUACACAAUGAUUUGACACAAAAUGAUGAAUGAAGGCUACACAUAUUUAUA